UAAAUAGGCCUAAGUAGCUUGCCUCACCUCUCCCUCGUCUUUCUAAGUGUUUACAAAACUAUGAGGUUUCAUAAAAUAAAACUAUUACUGUAAAUUUUAGCUGACCUGGAAAAUCUUACCUUUUGCAUCAUGUGUGAAUAAUAAGUCACCUGCGCGUGAAUCUUACGAACUGUUUAGAAUAAUUUAUGUAAAAUUUAAACUGUGGUAGCAUUUUAAUAAAUAUAAAAAUUGGAAUGAUAUGUUAACAUUAAAUAGAUGCUUAUUAAAUUUUAUUGGAAUAAUUCCAACUAUCAGAGAGAUAAGAGAUGAGAAGAGAUAAGUUUUUUCAUUACCAAUUAAAUAGUAACGUCUGCAAUUUUUAAUAUAAAUAUUAAUGUUAAUCUGAGUUUAUAAAAAUUCUUUAAAUUUUAGUAUUUAAUCUUUUAUAAAAAAAAUUUUUUAAGGGAACUUUCCAAUUUUUCCUUAAAAAUAUAUUUACAUGAGUAGUUAAGCUGUACACCCGCAUAGUAAGAUAGGUCCUUAUUUAGAUUAUACCGUUCCACAUUAUAGUAAAAGCACUCGUCUAAAUAUAUUUAGCCUGUUUAUCAAAAACACCGUAAAUUAUAUUUAUAAUACCUGCUCAGUGAAUACUUAAACAGCCGCGUUAGUGCUAAGGUAGCAUAAUAAUUAGUUUUUUAAUUGGAAAAUGGAAUGAAUGGUUUCACUAAAAUAUAGCAUUUACACUAGUAAGUGAAAUUUUAAUUUAAGUGAAAAUUCUUAAAAGACCCACUUAGACGAGAAGACCCUAUGAAUCUGGUAAACUAAGAAUAUGCCUACAAUAGUUAAUUGUUUAUUUUUUGGGGUAAAAAUUAAUAAAAAUAUUAAUAAAUACUUAUUUAACUUAAUCCUCUAGGAAACAUGAAGAAGAUCCUCUAGGGAUAACAGCAUUAUACUUAAAAGAGUUCUUAUCAGAAUAAGUGUUUGUGACCUCGAUGUUGAAUUAAAUACUCCCGUGUGUGUAGGAGCUCACUGGAGACGGUCUGUUCGACCUAUAAUAUUUACAUGAUUUGAGUUAAAAUCGACGUAAGUCAGAUUGGUUUCUAUCUAGUGUGUAAAUUAUUAUCGCUUAGUACGAAAGGAAUAGCUAUAAUUUUAAUUCA
rnacentral:rRNA from 1 species